AACGAACGCUGGCGGCAUGCCUAACACAUGCCAGUCGAACGAGACCUUCGGGUCUAGUGGCGCACUGGUGCGUAACGCGUGGGAACCUGCCCUUAGGUUCGGAAUAACUCCCCGAAAGGGGUGCUAAUACCGGAUAAUGUCUUCGGACCAAAGAUUUAUCGCCUUUGGAUGGGCCCGCGUUCGAUUAGCUAGUUGGUAGGGUAAAAGCCUACCAAGGCGACGAUCCAUAGCUGGUCUGAGAGGAUGAUCAGCCACACUGGUACUGAGACACGGCCCAGACUACUACGGGAGGGAGCAGUGGGGAAUAUUGGAAAAUGGGCGAAAGCAUGAUCCAGCAAUGCCGCGUGAGUGAUGAAGGCCGUAGGGUUGUAAAGCUCUUUUACCCGGGAUGAUAAUGACAGUACCGGGAGAAUAAGCACCGGCUAACUCCGUG
rnacentral:rRNA from 1 species